rnacentral:rRNA from 1 species
UACGGAGGGGGCAAGCGUUGUUCGGAAUCACUGGGCGUAAAGCGCGCGUAGGCGGCUUUGUAAGUUAGAGGUGAAAGCCCGGGGCUCAACUCCGGAACUGCCUUUAAAACUGCAUCGCUUGAAUCCAGGAGAGGUGAGUGGAAUUCCGAGUGUAGAGGUGAAAUUCGUAGAUAUUCGGAAGAACACCAGUGGCGAAGGCGGCUCACUGGACUGGUAUUGACGCUGAUGUGCGAAAGCGUGGGGAGCAAACAGG